rnacentral:misc_RNA from 1 species
UUAACUAUUAGAUAGUACUCAGACGACACAAAUUUCAGAGUUUAGAUAUAAUAUACAAGGGUGAGGUUUGCUACCCGUUAGGGCAGCUAACACUGUAAUGAUCCUUCCGCAGGUUCACCUACGGAAA